rnacentral:misc_RNA from 1 species
GAGGAAGAGGGGGGGUGUUCAAAACCACUUAAAAUCAGGUUCAAAGAAUGACAGAAAAGACAAGGAAGAAAUGUUGACUAAGAUUGUUAAUGGCUCUGUUAGCAGAAAUGAUGAGAGAGAGCAGGGAAUUAGUCAAAUAGAAGAGAAUGGAAAAGAGUUUUCUAUCUUGGAGGAGAAGAAAAAGGUUAAAAGGACAACCCAGCCAAUUUCAGAUUCAUUAGAAGGGAAAAAACAUCUAGAUGUGGC